rnacentral:rRNA from 1 species
AUGAGAGAAUACUACUGCUAUAAAUUCCAUACACGACCAAACAUAUUCAACCCAAUAUUGCACGGUGGACGGCUUUUCCAGCAGUUUGCUGUAGAUACAUACAUCAAGAUUGAAAGCUCCAGAUUGGAUUAUAUGUGGCAUCAUCAGAACAAAAUAAGGGCAGAUCUAUACCAAGGCCUUCUAGACAGCAUUCAAGCAGGAGAACAGAAUGGAGAUGCAGUCGGAAAACGGAGAGUACUUGCCUCAUCGUUUAUUGGAGGGCCAUGA